AACCUUGCGCAGUGGCAACAUCGUAAUCAAUGAAGUUCUACUGAGAUGCGAUUAUUGCUAGUUGAAAACUAUAAGCCUUCCUAUUCGAUGUAAUGAUAGAUGAUGUGUUGUCGACUAUUAAGU
rnacentral:snRNA from 13 species